CCCUUAGAUGUUCUGGGCCGCACGCGCGCUACACUGAUGCAUUCAACGAGCCUAUCCUUGACCGACAGGUCCGGGUAAUCUUUGAAUCUGCAUCGUGACGGGGAUAGAUUAUUGCAAUUAUUAAUCUUCAACGAGGAAUGCCUAGUAGGCGCAAGUCAUCAGCUUGCGUCGAUUACGUCCCUGCCCUUUGUACACACCGCCCGUCGCUCCUACCGAUUGGGUGUGCUGGUGAAAUGUUCGGAUCGGCCGUUUGUCGCGGUUUCCGCGUCAUGUGGCUGAGAAGUUCAUUAAACCCUCCCACCUAGAGGAAGUAGAAGUCGUAACA
rnacentral:rRNA from 1 species